AGACGGAGGGUGCAAGCGUUGUUCGGAAUCACUGGGCGUAAAGCGCGUGUAGGCGGCCUGACGAGUCGAAUGUGAAAGCCCGGGGCUCAACUUCGGAAGCGCAUUCGAAACUGCUAGGCUUGAGUACGGGAGAGGGAAGUGGAAUUCCUGGUGUAGAGGUGAAAUUCGUAGAUAUCAGGAGGAACACCGGUGGCGAAGGCGGCUUCCUGGACCGAUACUGACGCUGAGACGCGAAAGCGUGGGGAGC
rnacentral:rRNA from 1 species